AAGGGUAUAGCUCAGAGAUAGAGCAUGUGCUUAUCAUGCAUGAGGUCCUGGGUUCAAACCCCAGUAUCUCCA
rnacentral:tRNA from 1 species